GACUAGGAACCAUGAGGUUGUGGGUUCAAUCCCUAGCCUUGCUCAGUGGGUUAAGGAUCCAGCGUUGCCGUGAGCUCUGGUGUAGGUUGCAGACGCGGCUCGGAUCCCGUGUUGCUGUGGCUCUGGCGUAGGCCAGCGGCUGUGGCUCCGAUUCGACCCCUAGCCUGGGAACCUCCAUAUGCACAGCCCAAGAAAUGGCAAAAAGACCAAAAAAAAAAAAAAAAAAGUUUUAAAAUUUGGUUAUGUGGAGGAGAGUAUUUCUAGACCUGUUUGGAAGGCAAACCAGAAGUAUACUAUAGAUAAAGGGCUCCCCUUCCUUUGGAUAGAAAAUUUUCUAUCUCUGAUAUAUUUUUAAUAAUCAUAUGAAACAUUACCUCCUUCACAGUAGAAUCAGAUUUUGCAUAUCUUUUGCCUAGCAUUAGGUUUUUCAACUCUGCAGCGCUUAGGCUAGUAAAACCGAAAAAUGUUUUGGUUCUAUAUAGAAAACUUCUGAAAGUCGAAUGGUGGAUUUUAGUCUCUUUUUCCCCCCUUCUUUAAGUAUUUACAGUGUUGUGUUAGUUUCAGGUGUACAGCAAAAUGAUUGUUAUACACACACACACACAUAUAUGUUAUAUAUUGAAUAUAAUUCCCUCUCCUGUAUGGUAAGUCCCUGUUGUUAGUCUCUUCUUUAAUCCACCCCAAAUAUGGUCCCUUAAGACAUGCUGGAAAUCCAAAUUCUCAUAAUUGGCUGUUUCCCUGAUAGUCCAUGAGGUGCAAUAAAUUUUAUUUAUUUUUUUGUCUUUUUAAGGCUGCACCUGCUGCAUUUGGAAGUUCCCAGGCUAGGGGUCAAAUUGGAGCUGUAGCCACCGGCCUACGCCACAGCCACAGCAAUGUCAGAUGCGAGCCAUGUCUGCAACCUACAACACAGCUCACGGCCACACCGGAUCCUUAACUCACUGAGUGAGGCCAGGGAUCGAACCUGUAUCCUCAUGGAUGCUAGUCAGAUUUGUUUCCACUGAGCCAGGGCGGGAACUCCGAGAUGCAAUAAAAUGUUUGAAGGAGGACAGUAAGAAUCUUUUGGUGCUUUGGGUUUCUUUGCUUUGUUUGUUUUUUGUUUGUUGUUGUUGUUUCAGGAAAUUCAGGUUGCAGAAGCCCCAUAAGGUAAGGAUUGUUGCAAAUGAGGCCUAGAUUUGAAAAUUCCUGCUUUGCAGAUUGUGCUUCUUCUAGUAGUAAAGAUUUCUAUGGCUGGAAAGAACUUUAAAAAUUGGGUGAUCCAGUUGCCUCCUGUUGCAGAGAGGGAACUGAGAUGCAGACCGGUCAGGUCAGUUGCUGAGGUCACAUAGUUCAUUUGUAGCAAAAUUCAGACCCGUGGCUUUGACUUUCAAUCUUCAAGUCACUGUGUCCCACACCACACCACACCAUGCUUCUCUUUCUGUGGUGCCUCUGGGGAUGCCAGCUUGCUCUCCACCAGUGACGGCAACCUCAGAUAGAAACUCUAGGGAGGAGAGGCCAGUACUUUCACAGCUCCCGACCCAUGGGAGUGAUGGGUUGGUGUUGGGAUGAAGUGGAAGUGAGGGUGCCAUCUUUAUACUCCAGCUCUUCCUGUCCUUUUCCGGAUGCUUUGUCUAUAGAGCAUCUGCAGAGAUGUUCUUGAUUCAUAUUAAUAAUAAACACAUUGGGGGCAGAAAUUGGACUUGCAGCCGGUUUUGUAAGAAGUUUCUUUGCCAAUACAUACCUCCAGAUAAAGAAUUUCAGGAUUUUCUGUCGUGGCUCAGUGGAAACAAGUCUGACUAGGAUCCUUGAGGAUCCAGGGAUCGAACCUGUGUCCUCAUGGAUCCCAGUUGGGUUUGCUAACCCUGAGCCACAACCUAAACUCCCCAAAUAAUUUUCUUAAACUUUUUUGAUCCACAUUAAGAUCUAUUGCCCCUUUGGGGGUGUGGUUCUGGUUUAAUUGAUACAAAUGUUUUGGAAAAUGUUUUAUGACCUAUAUAGGUUUAUUGAUUUUGGAGACUCUAAGUCCAUCUGUCCGUCUCUCCAGCAUUCUGCCUUCCCAUCUGAGAGCAGAAUGGGAGCAUAGGAAGUUUCUGGGGAAGUACCAGCAGCUUGGUUGGUUGUUAGCCCGGGCAGACUUAGUAUUUUAUACUGCGUUUUUUUCUACUUGAAAAGCAUAUAGAUCUUUUUUCUUUCCUUCUUUUUUGUCUCUUUAGGGCCCCACCCUUGGCACACGGAGGGUCCCAGGCUAGGGGUUGAAUCGGAGCUGCAGCUGUCGGCCUACACCACAGCAACACCAGAUCCAAGCUCCAUCUGCAACCUACACCACAGCUCACGGUAACGCCGGAUCCCCAACCCACUGAAUGAGGCCAGGGAUCAAACAUGCGUCCUCAUGGAUAUUAGUCAGAUUUAUUUCUGUUGAACCACAAUGGGAACUCUGCAUAUAGAUCUUAAUUUUCACAAUAUGGCUGUGUUCACAGCUGAAGAGCCGUAUAGUAUAGCCCCAACUGUUGAUUUUUCGUGGAAUAGCCAUUCUCCUUUGGUCCCCGUUACCCUGUUUCCUUAUUCAGUUUCCUUGAAUGUAACACGGUCAUGAUACCCAACUCAGCAAGUGCCUAUGUGAUGGAUGCUUGUGUUAACUCCCGCCGUCUAGCUUUGCCUAAUUAGGUUUCUCUUUAGCUUGAGCUCAUUUAUAGCUAACUUUUUCCAGAUUAAAAACAUAAAACCUUUGUUGAACUAUCUUGUCAUUAUAAAUUGGGACCAUCUUAACUUUAUAUCAAAGAAUUUCAUCUUUAGUUCACUUACCACAUGAGCCGCCUUAAUCCCCUAGGGACUGCUGUCAUUGUUAAUUUACAUCUGACCUUGUUCUGGAAAAAAAAAGAAAAAAAAAAAAAGAUUUAAAGCUGUGGAACCCUCAGUUAGAACUUGCUGGUUCGUGCUUUGCCUGUGCAUCUGGAUCUGUAAAAGUGAGUCCAGUUCCCUAAGAAAUCAGACUGAAGAUUUUAAUAAAAGAUUUCAGAUGCCACUGUAAGUGCUAGGACUUCUUUUGACUCUGGGUCAUUGUGUCAACGAAGGUGGUUACAAUGAGUAUUCCUACCUUACAAAUGGAGAUACAGAGGCUCUGAGAACCCAGUAACUUACCGAAGGUUGGUAGGGUGUAGCCACUGGGUUUUCACUCCCAAUCACUUGGCCACACUGUCUUGGUGAGAGGGAGAGGGAGAGAGACAGAGAGAGGGAGGGAGGGAGGAAGAGAGAGAGAAGAAGGGAGAGAGAGAAGAGGGGAGAAGGAGAGGGAGAGAGAGAGAGAUUCCUGGUCCUCAGGCUACAGGGAGCAUCUGUCAGAGGCCCAGUGGGAAGUGUGUGGAGCAUGCUGGGAAGCAUCUGGAUUUUCAUCUGGACUUGUGGAUUUUGUAAUAGGGGACCUGCCAGACCAUGUGCCUGGGAAUCAGCCAUAGCUGCACCUGAGGAGUGUUUUUGUGGGAGCACAGACUUGCCAAGUCAGUCUGGCAUGUCAAGAGUUGAGAGACAUUGGAACUGCAGAAAAAAAAAAAUUAUUGAAGAUGACUCUUAAGAUGUCAAGAGGGGAAAAAAAAAAUGACUUAGGUCACAAAAGGGAAAGCUGUCACACUCUGAGCCCCGCGCCAAGAGAUGGCUUCUCAAGGGCGGCUUAAACGCAUUAGAUUAGUCUGCAAUGUGGAUUAAGGGACUGUGGGAUUUAAUAACUUGUGUAUUAAAGAACAGCCCUGCAAAUGUUACUCUGCCAUAAAAACGUAACCACUCUAAUUGAAUUUAGAAGCAAUAUUAAAAUGACUCUUUUGGUGAUGCUCCUAGAUAUAUGAAAUAAAAUAUCAAAAGUCACCACUGAUUAAGCUGAAACUUCAGCAUGUGAGAGUUAUUAUGCACCCAGUUCUCUUGCUAGAGGUUUUUUAUUUUGUUCUGAAAUAUACUAAGAAAUUUCUCCCUCUAUAUAAUUUAUGGCCCUUCCACUCUUUCAGUGCGCCAAAUAAUGUUCUCAGAGCCUUAGCAGUGUUUUGAAACACAGUAUAUUAUCUUAAUGUUGGGCUGUAUAUCUAAUGAACAUUCAGUACGUAUUGAUGGGGAUAUUUCAGGAGCUAAAUUCUCUCUCAUGGGCAAGGAAGGAAUAGGCUAUUAAGUUACAUACAGUGCUUUGUGUGUUUUUAAGGAGUUAUGGUGGAAAAAAUAGCUUUUCUUCCUCCUCCCGUGGCUGUACGUAGUUUUGCUAGCCUUAUGUCUGCACACAAAGAUCUUCGGAUAAGAUAACAUUGAUCGGGGGUGAUAUCAGUGCAUAGCUGGGAUGCUGUGUCCGUGGACCACUUCAUGGUUCCAGAGCUCCAUGGACUCUAGAGAGCCCUGUGGCAAUCAUGAAGCAUCAGUGGCAGUUAGAAGCAAAGGGGGUCUUUUUCUUUCCAUCCAGGCAAGGGGGGUCUUUUCCUUUCUAUCCGUAAGGCUGGGGGAGGCAGAGAGGUUGCAUUUAUGUGUUUGAAGUCAGAUACGUAAUGAGGAAUAUAGUUGACUGAAACGUGUCCAUGGGUUUGGAGCAGAGAGUAGCAAUUAGGAGCACCCAGGAAACCAGAUCCCCUCCUGCUCUCAGGCUGUCUCCUGGAGUCCCCAAAGUGGCAUGUCCUCUAUUAAAGGGUAUUACGGAAUUUAUUCCCAAGUAUCUAUAUUUAAAAAUAAUGAAAAAAUAGGCACCUGGCUAGAGCUUAUCCCAAAUGAGUUUAAGUUAGGUUUCCUUUUCCCUCCAAGGACAAGAAUCCUUUUUUUUUUUUUUGGUCUUUUUAGGGCUGCUCCCGAGGCAUAUGGGAGGUUCCCAGGCUAGGGGUCGAAUCGGAGCUGUACCCGCCGGCCUAUGCCACAGCCACAGCAAUGCCAGAUCCAAGCCACGUCUGCGACCUACACCACAGCUCACAGCAAUGCCGGAUCCUUAACCCACUGAGCAAGGCCAGGGAUCCAACCUGCCUCCUCAUGGAUGCUAGUCAGAUUCGUUUCUGCUGAGGUACGAUGGGAACUCCGUGGACAAGAAUCUUUCCCUUUUCUGUUGUUCAGAGUUAGAGAAAUUUCUCUUAUCUUGCAAAACUUUACACUCAAGAAACACGUGAGUGUUUCCCAGCAUCUGAGCCCAGGGGAAGGAUGUCCAAGUACUUAAUCCAAUUCCCGUUGAGUGAUUGGCUUCUGGCAGGACUGUUAAUUUGCAAACUCUUAGGAAAGCAGAAAGUUUACAUUUUCCAGCUGUCAAACUUUGGGCUUCCUGGUGAAUCACUGGGGUGGACUUUCUAGGCCAAGCAUGAGGGGUGCUCUGGAGCUGCUGGUCCGAGGCUGGGGAAGCAUGACAAGUUUUUUGUUUUUGUUUUGUUUCGUUUUGUUUUUUAAGAUGCCUGGCAAGAGUUCUAACACGUGGGCUUGGGGACCAGCCUCUAGGGCCUAGGUGGCUUCCCUGGAAAACGCCACCACGAUCCUCACUUGUAGGGGAUCAGCACAGCCUGAAGGAAGGGCUUAGGACGACUGAUCCGAGAGCAGCCGCAAGUUUGUUCUCUCUCUGUGGCAGACGUGUUAGUCUAGGAGAAAGCGGACUCGCUUGAAAGCUUUGCAGCUCCAAAAGCGGUUGCCGAUGGAAUUUUCUCCUGUGGAAGCUGUUCUUUGCCGCUAGAAUACUAAGCCAAAAGGAAGGAAAAGAUGAAAAAUAAGCCCUUCUUUCACAACACAUUUGAGUCAACCCAUUGGAGAAAACCAGAGAUUUCUCAACGAACAAGAAAUGGCCUGGCAUUACUGCCUUAGGGAAUUAGAAAAAGGCUCCUUGAUAAAGUUAUUUGGGGAUUAAUCAUCAUUUGGCUCCAGGGCGGCAUGGGGCUCCUUGGAAUUCACCUUGUCUUCUUUGGAAGCUGGCAGCUUGGUGGUUGCGUAACAACGGGAAAUGCAAGGCCUGCCAGCCGGUCCUUCCAUGAGCCCCGGGGGAGUUACGAGGCUCUAUGACUCUUUCUUGAGUCAGUCAGGCCUGCCAGAUCCAUUUCAGUGGCCUGGGAUGUGUUGGGUACAGACCUCAGACUUCACAACUUUUUUUUUUUUUUUGCUCGCUUGCUUUUUAGGGUCAUACCAGCGGCAUAUGGGGGUUCCCAAACUAGGGGUCUAAUCGGAGCUGCCAGCCUACGCCAGAGUCACAACAAUGCCAGAUCCAAGCUGCGUCUGCGACCUACAGGUCACGGCAACACUGGAUCCUUAACCCACUGAGAGAGGCCAGAGAUCGAACCCACAACCUCACGGUUCCUAGUCCCAU
rnacentral:lncRNA from 1 species